rnacentral:lncRNA from 1 species
GGCAUUCCAGCUAAUAAUGGAUGCACCCAGAUGAAAGUGAGGUCGCUUGUGGAUGGGUACAUUAGCUCCAUUCCAGGGAGCAAUUUGUGACUUUUCACAGAAAGCAUGAACUUGGAGUGACUUCCAAAUGGCAGGUGCACAAAUCAUUUCUCCAAGGAGAAGACAACUCAUCUUCCCACUUUUCAUCAUGCAAAUCUUCCUACCACAGUUGGCAAUAAGUAGAAAUAGGACUUCUGGACAGAUCUUGGUAAAACACAACUUGGAUUUUUCCCAUUCUCUCCCCAAGUUCCACCAGAUGAAGUCUAAAUACCAGAACAAAUCUCUCUCAAUUUCCUCCUGCCUCCCUUGCAAAACUGAUUGUCACUCUGGCCACUUGUCAAGCUGGUUCCUCUGAUCCAAGUUGUCAUUAAUUAUAUCGACU